UACGGAGGAUCCAAGCGUUAUCCGGAUUUAUUGGGUUUAAAGGGUGCGUAGGCGGUCCUAUAAGUCAGUGGUGAAAGACGGCAGCUUAACUGUCGCAGUGCCUUUGAUACUGUAGGACUUGAAUCUAUUUGAAGUGGGCGGAAUAAGACAAGUAGCGGUGAAAUGCAUAGAUAUGUCUUAGAACUCCGAUUGCGAAGGCAGCUCACUAAGUUAGUAUUGACGCUGAUGCACGAAAGCGUGGGGAUCAAACAGGAUUAGAUACCCUGGUAGUCCACGCCCUAAACGAUGAUAACUCGAUGUUUGCGAUACACAGUAAGCGUCCAAGCGAAAGCGUUAAGUUAUCCACCUGGGGAGUACGGUCGCAAGAUUGAA
rnacentral:rRNA from 1 species